rnacentral:lncRNA from 1 species
GGCACAGCGUGGGCAGUGGGGCCUACAGGAUGACUGAUUUAGUCAACAGAGAUUCCGGCGCACUUCAGCAGGUAGUAAUGAUGGACAGAUGAAGACUCUGAGAUGACAGAAGGUGAUCUGUCUGGUGAUUGAGGACUCCCGGGGUCACAUCAGUGAUGAAAUGCAGGGGACCUGGUUGCCCCCAAGUUUCCUGGCCGUGUGUGAUCCUGAGGAGGUGAGCUUGUUUCUGGAGCUGUGCUUUAAGAUUCAUGUUACAUGCAAAGCUGUCCUCGUGUGACUAUGGACCUAUGGAGUUGGGUAAGUUAGUGACCAGCCGAAGCUCUGUCAGCGUGUAGCUGCAGGUAGUGCUCAGUUUUCGGGGAUCCUGUCCUAAGUAGUCAGCCUAAUAGAACUAUAAGGUUACUUAGGUCUGUGUCAAAGUUUUUUUGUUUUUGUUUUUGUUUUUUUUUCUUUUAAAGACGGGGUCUUUCUGUCACCCAGGCUGGAGUGCAGUGGCACGAUCUUGGCUUAUUGCAAACUCCGUCUCCCAGGUUCAAGUGAUUCUUCUGCCUCAGCCUCCUGAGUAGCUGGGACUAUAAGCAUGCACCACUAUGCCCGGCUAAUUUUUGUAUUUUAAGUAGAGACAGGGUUUUGCCAUGUUGCCCAGGGCAGUCUUGAACUCCUGACCCCAAGUGAUCUGCCUGCCUUGGCCUACCAAAGUGCUGGGAUUACAGGCAUUUCAGUAACAUUUACAUUUGGCCUUCCUUGUGUGCCCUGUUUGUUAGCUGUUCAUUACCAGAGGGCAAAGGUGCUUAGAACAUGAUUUGCCCACCCUGCAAGACCACAUAUUGCUGGAAGUUGAAGGCAGCAGAGGGCACCAUGGGCCACGAGGCCUGGUAGCCGCAAAUGUUCAGUGGUGGCUGGAGCUCAUGAUGCAUUCUUUGGUAGGACUUCAAGGGGUUCCAUGUAGCACACACUA